UAACACGACGCGGGACGAUAAACG
rnacentral:miRNA from 1 species